rnacentral:tRNA from 1 species
GCAUCGUUGGUUCAGUGGUAGAAUGCUGGCCUGCCACGUGGGCGGCCCGGGUUCGAUUCCCGGACGAUGCA